rnacentral:rRNA from 1 species
UACGGAGGAUCCAAGCGUUAUCCGGAAUCAUUGGGUUUAAAGGGUCCGUAGGCGGCCCGGUAAGUCAGUGGUGAAAUCUCACGGCUCAACCGUGAAAUUGCCAUUGAUACUGCCGGGCUUGAAUUACUAGGAAGUAACUAGAAUAUGUAGUGUAGCGGUGAAAUGCUUAGAUAUUACAUGGAAUACCGAUUGCGAAGGCAGGUUACUACUAGUGGAUUGACGCUGAUGGACGAAAGCGUGGGUAGCGAACAGG